UACAGAGGGUGCGAGCGUUAAUCGGAAUUACUGGGCGUAAAGCGCACGUAGGCGGCUUGGUAUGUCGGGUGUGAAAUCCCCGGGCUUAACCUGGGAACUGCGCUUCUAACUGGCAGGCUUGAGUGUGGCAGAGGGGGUGGAAUUCCACGUGUAGCAGUGAAAUGCGUAGAGAUGUGGAGGAACACCGAUGGCGAAGGCAGCCCCCUGGGCUAACACUGACGCUCAUGCACGAAAGCGUGGGGAGCAAACAGG
rnacentral:rRNA from 1 species